UAGUUCUAUAUUAAGUAUUCUGAGGAACUUCCAUACUGUUUUCCGUAGUGGUUGUACCAGUUUACAUUCCUACCAACAGUGUAGGAGGUUCCCUUUUCUCCACAGCCUCUGCAACACUUAUUAUAGUAAUGAAGGCUAGUCUGACUGGUAUGAGGGGGUGCCUCAUUAUAUUUUUGAAUUGCAUUUCUCUAAUAAUUAGUGAUGUUGAGCAUAUUCCCAUAUGCCUACUGGCCAUCUGUAUCAGUUAUAUGGUUUAAGGCAAUGCCUAAUAAAAUGCUUUCUUAAUUUGAGUAACUUUAGGAUUCAUCAGGAACCCAAUUUAGUAUUCCUAGGUGUAUUUUCCUUUAUAAUGUGCUAUGAAAUGUUUUCACUUUUAUUAUCCCCUUAUUAGCUUUACAGUAGAUGGACAGUAUUCUCAGAAAUGCGCCCAUGAGGAUUUCUGAAAUAUUUUGCCCAAACACUUGAGUUUCUACUUUUCUUACUUUUUCCCUUUAUAUAACUUUCUGAAGCUUUUUACUUUUAGAGAAAGGUAAGAUUUCCCCUCUGAACACGCAAAUCCUUAACUUGUCAACUGAAGCAAUACCUUUACAGUACCUUUUGGUGGGAAGUGAGAGCAGGGGGAUAUAUUUAAAUAGGAUUUGUUAAAUGCGACUCCCACCAAAUCAGUUGUCUUCUUUAAGUCUUUUUGAAAAUGUAUACAGAAGCCCUGGGAUAGUAGUGAAAUUCAGCUUCAGUUACAGCCCAUGUCUUGUAGUUCCCUAUUUAUUAAAUCUUGCAUUGAAAAGUUGACUAUGGGACCUUUCCUGUCGUGACUCAGCGGCAAUGAACCCCACUAGUAUCCAUGAGGAUGUAGGUCAAUCCCUGGCCUUGCUCAGUGGGUUUAGGAUCUGGCGUUGCUGUGAACUGUGUUGUAGUCACAGAUGUGGCUUGGAUCCCCCAUUGCUGUGGCUGUGGCCUAGGCCAGCAGCUGCAGCUCUGAUUCGACCCGUAGCCUGGGAACUUUCUUAUGCCACAAGUGUGGCCCUAAAAAGCGGAAAAAAAAAAAAAAAGAGGUUGACUCUGCAGUGUAAUUAGAAGUUAUAUUACUUCUAUUUUAGAUAAUAUCUUUAUAGACUAAAAACACAGUAUAUCAAGAGGCAAAAUAUGUACUUUUUGUACAUGGGAAGCGCUACCUUUGAACAUGUAGGCGUUCUAAAUAGUAUAUCU
ensembl:lncRNA